GCUCUGGGAGAGCCCAGCUGGUAGAGCAUGAGUCUCUUAAUCUCAGGGUUGUGGGUUUGAGCCCCACGUCGGGUG